UACGGAGGGUGCAAGCGUUAUUCGGAAUUACUGGGCGUAAAGCGUGCGUAGACGGUUAUGUAAGUCGGGUGUGAAAGCCCCGGGCUCAACCUGGGAAUGCCAUUCGAGACUGCGUAGCUAGGGUGCGGAAGAGGGAAGCGGAAUUUCCGGUGUAGCGGUGAAAUGCGUAGAUAUCGGAAGGAACACCAGUGGCGAAAGCGGCUUCCUGGUCCAGCACCGACGUUCAGGCACGAAAGCGUGGGGAGCAAACAGG
rnacentral:rRNA from 1 species